GGGGGGGCGGGCCCGGGGGCGGAGUCACGCCCGCUUAGACCCUCGCGGGAGGGAGACCCAGGUGCCCUCAAGUUCCUGCCUGAUGUUUGGAGCUACUUCCAAGCUAGGUGUUUUCUAGAUGGGUCCGAUUGAGAUAAUUGCUCUUCCAUCUGGACCAUUAUCUCCGUGAAGCAACCUCACUUCCUCAUCAGCUUUGGGACCAUUAUCUUUGAUAAUUCUUUCUAAACACCUAUCCUCACUCUGUAACUACUUAGAUGCCCUACCACCUUGCCUUUUUGAUGACUUACUUUGGCUGUUACAAAUUACCACAAAUUUAACAGAUUGAACCAACAUAAAGUUACUGGAUUUGUGGAAAAUA